UCGGGUCUCAUUCCUAAAAAGGCUACCCUCUAGUUUAGUAGUGCGCGCCGUUCUGAGUUUCCAUAAGCAUUUGAAGAUUGUCCGUAAGCGACUGAUCCUAAAGAAAACGUGUUAAUUUGUGUUAUUAGAAGAAAAGGUCCGUGAGUGUUUCCGGACCUUUUCUUUAUUCUAUGGUGGCCUCGGGUGAUUCCCGAAGAGUCUCGUUUACUUCCCAGGAUCGAAACACUGGACAGAAACCUGCGGCACGACCCUCGUGUAGAGCUAGAGCCCUAGUACGCACCGGGAUCGCCAUUGCUGCCUCCGCCAUCUUGUAGACCGCGCAAUCGGCCGCGUGGUCACUCAGCCGACGCCCGUCAGAGUCGAUCGCCGGGAUCGUCCCCAAAACCAGGAACGCGAAUCCUCCCCACCGCUGGUAGGCCUUAGCCACUCCAGUGGGACCCCAGAGUGUCAUCGGUCCAGUGGGAGUACUGACGGAAAAGCUCCUUCCCAGCUUCCCAAGAGUAUCACCGAAAUACCUGGACCCUGGUGACGGUAACCCACGAUCAACCGUAACUUCGCUGGUGGGCCGUAGCCUGUCCAGAGAGUCGGUCCUCCUCCCCAGCUUUUGUGUGGGCCGCCUGGCCUGAUUCAAGCUAAAUCUUCAUCGCCGCCUCCGUCAUCGUGUGUGCCGAUCGAAGGACUUCCGCCACCACCCGCGCUGAAGCCCGACCAAGCCGUCGUGCCGUGAAGAAGCGUUCUACCAAGCCAUUUCACCCCGGUUUGCCCGUUGGAGGUGCCAAGCUUUCCCAACAACCCGUACGCCUACUGGUGGACCCUAGCCUAUCCGGUUGAGUACCUGCCAUUCAACAACGAUCUUUGGACAGCCAUCUCGGGGCGGAAGUGCUCGCCCGUCGUUAGUAGCAACCUCUCCGGUGCCCGCCUGGCCCCCCUUCGAAGAUGCCAUCCACAAAGCUAGCCAACGUAGACCGUCGCCGCCAACCAUCGCGCCACCAACAACCGCCAAUGUAAUACGCAAGUAUACCACCUCUCUAUCUCUCUCU